rnacentral:rRNA from 4 species
AACUUUCAACAACGGAUCUCUUGGCUUUUGCAUCGAUGAAGAACGCCGCGAAAGUGCGAAACGUAAUGUGAAUUGCAGAAUUCAGUGAAUCAUCGAAUCUUUGAACGCAUCUUGCGCUCCUUGGUAUUCCGAGGAGCAUGCCUGUUUGAGUGUCG